rnacentral:rRNA from 1 species
CCCCAGCGCCACAAGUGGGGAUCACGUUUAUUUGGUCUAAAGCGUCCGUAGCAGGCUCUGUAAAUUUUUUGUGAAAUUGUUAUGCUUAACGUAACAGAUUGCAGGAAAGACUGCAGAGCUCGGAACUGGGAGGAGUAAUGAGUAUUUUCGGGGGAGCGGUAAAAUGUUAUAAUCCCGAGAGGACUACCUGUGCCGGAGGGGCAUUACUAGAACAGAUUCGACUGUGAGGGACGAAAGCUAGGGGA